CGGGCCCGCAAGGUGCCGACGAGUGGCGGACGGGUGAGGAAUACAUCGGAAUCUGCCCGGUCGUGGGGGAUAACGUAGGGAAACUUAGGCGGAUACCGCAUGAGACCGAGAGGUGAGAGCGGGGGAUCGCAAGACCUCGCGCGAUUGGAUGAGCCGAUGUCGGAUUAGCUAGUUGGUGGGGUAAAGGCCUACCAAGGCGACGAUCCGUAGCUGGUCUGAGAGGAUGAUCAGCCACACUGGGACUGAGACACGGCCCAGACUCCUACGGGAGGCAGCAGUGGGGAAUAUUGGACAAUGGGGGCAAGCCUGAUCCAGCAAUGCCGCGUGUGUGAAGAAGGACUUCGGGUUGUAAAGCACUUUUAUCGGGAACGAAACAUUGUCGGUGAAUAUCCGGCAAGACUGACGGUACCCGAGGAAUAAGCACCGGCUAACUUCGUGCCAGCAGCCGCGGUAAUAGGAAGGGUGCAAGCGUUACUCGGAA
rnacentral:rRNA from 1 species